rnacentral:rRNA from 1 species
UGGGGAAUUUUGGACAAUGGGCGAAAGCCUGAUCCAGCAAUGCCGCGUGUGUGAAGAAGGCCUUCGGGUUGUAAAGCACUUUUGUCCGGAAAGAAAUCCUUGGCUCUAAUACAGUCGGGGGAUGACGGUACCGGAAGAAUAAGCACCGGCUAACUACGUGCCAGCAGCCGCGGUAAUACGUAGGGUGCAAGCGUUAAUCGGAAUUACUGGGCGUAAAGCGUGCGCAGGCGGUUUGCUAAGACCGAUGUGAAAUCCCCGGGCUCAGCCUGGGAACUGCAUUGGUGACUGGCAGGCUAGAGUAUGGCAGAGGGGGGUAGAAUUCCACGUGUAGCAGUGAAAUGCGUAGAGAUGUGGAGGAAUACCGAUGGCGAAGGCAGCCCCCUGGGCCAAAUACUGACGCUCAUGCACGAAAGCGUGGGGAGCAAACAGGAUUAGAUACCCUGGUAGUCCACGCCCUAAACGAUGUCAACUAGUUGUUGGGGAUUCAUUUCCUAGUAACGUAGCUAACGCGUGAAGUUGACCGCCUGGGGAGUACGGUCGCAAGAUUAAAACUCAAAGGAAUUGACGGGGUCAUAGCUGUUUCCU